rnacentral:hammerhead_ribozyme from 1 species
AUCCAGAUGACGAAUCCCAAAUAGGACGAAAUGCGUAUUUUGGAU